UGUUGUUAUUUAAAGGAACUAUUUCUGCGAUACAUCAUAAAUCAUGAUGAGAGAAGAAAAAUAUUAGUAGCUUGCCAUGUUCAUCCUACUUCUGGCUAUUUGGGUAAAACAAGGACAUUAGGCAGGGUAAAAGAGCGUUUCAUGUGGCACGGAAUGGUAAAAAAUGUCCAUGAGUUGCUUAUAUCUUGUGGUGUAUGCCAGAGAAUGAAUAGAAAGUUAAACUGUGGAAAACCAGAGAUGCACCCAAUAAAGGUAAAAGCUCCAUGGUAUAUGGUUGGCAUAGAUUUUAUUGGCCCACUCAGUACAAUUAGUGAAGAUGGUUGUAAAUACAUUUUAACUAUUAGUGACUAUUUUUCAAAGUAGGUUGAAGUAAUAGCCACUAAAGACAAAAUGGCAGUUACAGUGGCAGGAUGUCUGUUCGAGCUUGGUUUGGGUAUGUAGAGCGUAAAGGUGCUACUGAUUGGGUAUCAGCAUUUAGAGAGAAGUUUUAUAAGAAAAAGUGAGGUUUUCAUGAGGUUGGGAGUGCCAAGAGUUUUGCUGUCAGAUAAUGGGACUGAAUUUUGCAAUGAAUUUAAUAAUACCCUUAAUGUAUUGCUUGGUAUAAAGAAAA
rnacentral:lncRNA from 1 species